GGAAAAAAGAUCCGAAAGAUAUCCUAAAGCUAGAGCGCCGCUUUCAGAGAACCCCACCCCCUCGAUCGAGUAUCUUCUUCUUCUUAUGCCAUUUUCAAUGGUUUCGUCUGAAGCAAAGAGCAACGACUCCAUGAGCUACUGUUCUUGAACAAAAUUGAGACCCUAGCAUCAGCUUCCUCUUAUCCAAAAAGAAAAAAUAAAAGACCUGAGCAGCUAGAAACGGAAGGGAUCGAAAAUUUCCAACAGUUUCUUCAUCUCAUAACUCCGACGACCCUCCAUUGAGUCCGGUGAAAGCCGAGUUCGAACCCAGUGGUAAACUCAGCUACAAAACCAUCUGAAACAACAGCUCAAAGCAGCACGAAACACACACAAAAUUAGCCAAGGUUUUGAGUCGAGCCCAUCGAGGUCGCCCGUUUGGUGUUCCAGUCGAAGGUUUUGCUUUCAAUUUCCAGUAACCUGUAUUGCCGAGUUUGGUUUGUCAUUUUGUUUCUUGAAUUAGGCGGAGAGGUCAGUUUCAUACAACGAGCACAGGCCAAGGAGGCCUCCACCAGACUUGCCCUCAUUAUUGCUCCAUGGUAGAAUAGUUUACAUUGGUAUGCCGGUAUGUUCAUCAUGUUUUUUUUUCUCAGCUGCUAUGUGGUUAUUUCUUAUUUUCUGCAAAAAUUGCAUUAGGUAAUUGAAAAUAAGGCUGAUUUUCAUCUUCGUCCAUCAAACUACUUAUCUAAGGUUCUUCUUGUGUUAGUUGGACAGUAAUUCUGACAGCUAUACUGGUGUCAAACUAAAUAUACUUUCUGGGAUGAAUCCCUCACCCCCCCCCCCCC